rnacentral:rRNA from 1 species
AUUGAACGCUGGCGGCAGGCCUAACACAUGCAAGUCGAAUGGUAACAGGAAACAGCUUGCUGUUUCGCUGACGAGUGGCGGACGGGUGUGUCAUGUCUGGGAAACUGCCUGAUGGAGGGGGAUAACUACUGGAAACGGUAGCUAAUACCGCAUAACGUCGCAAGACCAAAGAGGGGGACCUUCGGGCCUCUUGCCUUCAGAUGUGCCCAGAUGGGAUUAGCUAGUAGGUGGGGUAACGGCUCACCUAGGCGACGAUCCCUAGCUGGUCUGAGAGGAUGACCAGCCACACUGGAACUGAGACACGGUCCAGACUCCUACGGGAGGCAGCAGUGGGGAAUAUUGCACAAUGGGCGAAAGCCUGAUGCAGCCAUGCCGCGUGUAUGAAGAAGGCCUUCGGGUUGUAAAGUACUUUCAGCGGGGAGGAAGGGAGUAAAGUUAAUACCUUUGCUCAUUGACGUUACCCGCAGAAGAAGCACCGGCUAACUCCGUG